rnacentral:rRNA from 1 species
GACGGGGGGGGCAAGUGUUCUUCGGAAUGACUGGGCGUAAAGGGCACGUAGGCGGUGAAUCGGGUUGAAAGUGAAAGUCGCCAAAAAGUGGCGGAAUGCUCUCGAAACCAAUUCACUUGAGUGAGACAGAGGAGAGUGGAAUUUCGUGUGUAGGGGUGAAAUGCGCAGAUAUCGGGAGGAACACCAAUGGCGAAGGCAGCUCGCUGGGACGUGACUGACGCUGAGACGCGAAAGCGUGGGGAGCAAACAGG